rnacentral:rRNA from 1 species
UACGUAGGGUGCAAGCGUUAAUCGGAAUUACUGGGCGUAAAGCGUGCGCAGGCGGCCUUAAAAGUCAGAUGUGAAAUCCCUGGGCUCAACCUAGGAACUGCGUUUGAAACUCUAAGGCUAGAGUAUGUGAGAGGGGGGUAGAAUUCCACGUGUAGCAGUGAAAUGCGUAGAGAUGUGGAGGAAUACCGAUGGCGAAGGCAGCCCCCUGGCAUAAUACUGACGCUCAUGCACGAAAGCGUGGGGAGCAAACAGG